rnacentral:rRNA from 1 species
AUUGAACGCUGGCGGCAGGCCUAACACAUGCAAGUCGAGCGAGCGGCGGACGGGUGAGUAAUGUAUGGUAACUGCCUGAUAGCGGGGGAUAACUACUGGAAACGGUAGCUAAUACCGCAUACUAUCGGAUAACCCUUACGGGAUUAGAUAGUAGGUGAGGUAAUGGCUAACCUAGGCGACGAUCCCUAGCUGGUCUGAGAGGAUGAUCAGCCACACUGGGAGUGAGACACGGCCCAGACUCCUACGGAGGCAGCAGUAGGGAAUAUUGCACAAUGGGCGCAAGCCUGAUGCAGCCAUGCCGCGUGUGUGAAGAAGGCCUUCGGGUUGUAAAGUACUUUCAGUCGAGAGGCGUUACCGACAGAAGAAGCACCGGCUAACUCCGUGCCAGCCGCCGCGGUAAUAC